CUUAUUAUCUCAAAAUGUACAAUAAUGAUAAGAUUUAAAGGUGUAUAUUAGUAAGAGCUGUAAGUAUUUGGAGUUAAUAGUUGGUUUAUUUAGUGUAACGUUAUUUGUGUGUAAACUUUCCCCGCUGUGGCGCGCGCGGCCUGCGCUGCUCGGGAAUGUGCUCCGCACUGCGCAUGCUCCCGCAGAGCCCGGUGCACAGCGAUGCUGUGGGAGCUGGGCAUUCCCCUCAGUCCGAGCCCAGCACAGGCAGCGGCGCGCGCGGACGGACGGACGGGCGGGCGGGAGGACCGGGGCUCCGGGAGGCGGAUUACAGAGAAAAUCACUGAUUCUUUUUCUCCACAGCCCAGAGUCACAUGAGAGCUCCGCCGCUCCGCUCCGGCAGUUUUCUGGAGUUGCCAUCAAUGAAAGCUGUCUUCAGCUAUGAUGACCGAUCAGCACCUCCCACUUCUGGAGGCCACGCCCAUGCUGGCUGAUGUGCCUUUCCUCCCUCCAAUGAUCAAUGGAGACAGCAUGCAGCAGGUGAGUGGCUAAAAAAGGCGGUUUGAAUAUUGAAUGUUACGUUUUUUGCUGCUAUUUGC
rnacentral:lncRNA from 1 species